AAUAGUACCCAGGUAGUCCACGCCCUAAACGAUGUCAACUAGCUGUUGGGGCCUUCGGGCCUUGGUAGCGCAGCUAACGCGUGAAGUUGACCGCCUGGGGAGUACGGUCGCAAGAUUAAAACUCAAAGGAAUUGACGGGGACCCGCACAAGCGGUGGAUGAUGUGGAUUAAUUCGAUGCAAUGCGAAAAACCUUACCUACCCUUGACAUGUCUGGAAUCCCGAAGAGAUUUGGGAGUGCUCGCAAGAGAACCGGAACACAGGUGCUGCAUGGCUGUCGUCAGCUCGUGUCGUGAGAUGUUGGGUUAAGUCCCGCAACGAGCGCAACCCUUGUCAUUAGUUGCUACGAAAGGGCACUCUAAUGAGACUGCCGGUGACAAACCGGAGGAAGGUGGGGAUGACGUCAAGUCCUCAUGGCCCUUAUGGGUAGGGCUUCACACGUCAUACAAUGGUCGGGACAGAGGUCGCCAACCCGCGAGGGGAGCCAAUCCCAGAAACCCGAUCGUAGUCCGGAUCGCAGUCUGCAA
rnacentral:rRNA from 1 species